AGAUAUGAGUUCUCUAAGGGCAAAGACCUGUUCUCACUUAUUCAUUCUUGUGACCUCAGUGCCUUGAGUGGUGCCUGGCAUAUGGAGGGCAUUUGUGUUUUAACAACCAUCUGGCAAGAUUCCUGAAAUUUUGACACUCACCUCUCAUGAGCCCAGUACAAGCUGGUUUUGGACUUUGGGUCCAAAGGAGAAGAACAAAAUGCUCAGUGUAUUAGAGGAAUAUUCGAACUCUGAGGAGAACACAAGACUCCUGGUUCCUACUCUAUCCCCUACUCUGGCAGAAGAAGUGCCCUAAAUGGGUCUGAGACAAACAAGUGGACUUCUUUAACCAUCACAAUAACAAAAAAUCAGAACACAGAAGUCUGGAAUUGGGUCAUCCUUACCUCGUGACACCCAACACAAGAACGGUUCCCAGCACAGAAGAGAGUCCACAAAUGCUUGUUGAAUACAGUAAUUUCAGAACAAUGAGUUAACAUCUGAGUGUUUGACUUGCAGCGUGUCAGUUGGGAAGAAACUCCACAACUACCCCAGGUCCAGUGAUACUCCUUGAAUCGACUCAGAAGCAGAUAAUGGGAGACACCAAUCCUUCUAUUGUAUUAACAGCUACUGGUUUACUCAUAAGUGGCACUGCUUGUCAGCACUCUUUGGCACGCUGUGAAGUCAGAUGCAGAAGUUGGAAAUCUGUAUGCUGACUGAGGAGAUAUGAUUGUGCUGAUUAAGAUGUGCAGUGAAGAGACAAGUGAACCCCAUGGCUCAGCGAUACAGUGUGGACAGAGGAAUUGUCUUCAUGAACAAGUGUUGGAAGAGAAGACCUGAGGAACACAGAAACAUGGCUGGCCUGAUCCUCGCCAUGCUGUCCAAGAUAGAGCUGGCUUAGAUGGGGUACCUCUGCCAGGACUGUUUCUGCCUUAAUCCUGCCUUGAAGGCUCAGGUGAACCUGGUUUUGUCUUGGGCUUCAGGGAGGGAACAUCAAGAUAUGGUAGAGGAUACAUAGCACACUUUACCCUGAGCCAGAAUCCCUGGGACAAGACCCUAGCCCCUUCUCCUGACUCCUAACCCCCAGCUGCCAGCUACCCACAAUCCUCUGGGUGUCUUCCUGUAGAAGGUGAAGACUCAGCUAGGAAAAGAAUUGAGUGAUACUAUUGUCAAGGGGGAUUUAACAGGGGUGUUCCAUUGGCCACUGGGAGAAAAAGGUGUAUUAAAAUUUUUUUCUGAGGAAAUUGAAAUCCAAACAUCUGUCUAACCAAGCCUAGAUGGAAAGUGAAUCUUGAUUCCAUAUUAAACACAUUAGUCCUGAAAGAGAAGAAUAAGUCCUUACAUUAAUAGGAGCAGUGAGGCUUCUCUGCAGGUUUUAGAGUAGUUCUGAGUAAAAAACAAGAGUGGUCAGAAUCCAUUAAGAAUAUGAAAAUAUAGUAUAGCUGAGAACUCUGCUCUCCUCCUUUACUAAAUUAUUUAUCUGGGCUACUGAUAAUUAAUUUCCCGAAUUCCCUAGUUUCCCCACCCUCUCAUUUAUACAUGUGGUUUCUCAGCAAUGGACAGGGAAGGGAGUCUGAGACACAGGGAGUCAUGGGUGGUCUAUACUCUGGAUGGUGACUAAUUGAGACUUGGCUGUCUUUCAUGAUAUGCCUUUUAUGGAUGGAGGCAAAAGAAGUACUCAGUGAUCUCAAGGAAUACUCCAGGGUCUCCCAGCCAGAUUGGCUAGGAAAAACUGACCAAUAAAUAAACAUUGACUGAGUACCUACUCUGUGGCAGGCACAGUGUAAGGCUUUGGGUAUACAUGGUCCCUGCCUUCACAGAACUCAGUCUGGCGAGGAAGGUAGAUUUUUAAACAAAUAAACACACCAACUUGCAUAAUUUGCAGAUUGUGAUGAAUGAGUAACUACUAUGAGACAGUUAACAGUGGGGAUAUGAUACAGAUAGGGGAGUUGGGGUCAAGAAAGUUCUCUCUGACGAGGUGACAGAUAAAGCCUAGAACGCUGCUUCUCAAAUUCCAAUGUGCAUCAGAAUCACCUGGAGAGUUUGUUAAAAAAAUAAAAAAGGUUUUCUGGGUACCCUUCCCACCAGA